ACGAGCGCAACCCCUAUUCUUAGUUACCAGCACGUAAAGGUGGGGACUCUGGGAGAACUGCCUACGCAAGUAGAGAGGAAGGUGGGGAUGACGUCAAAUCAGCACGGCCCUUACGUCCAGGGCUACACACGUGCUACAAUGGCCGGUACAGAGGGCAGCUACCUGGUGACAGGAUGCUAAUCCAUCAAAGCCGGUCUCAGUUCGGAUCGAAGUCUGCAACUCGACUUCGUGAAGCUGGAAUCGCUAGUAAUCGCGCAUCAGCCAUGGCGCGGUGAAUACUUUCCCGGGCCUUGNACACACCGCCCGU
rnacentral:rRNA from 1 species